GUUUACUUUGGCUGCACAUAUUUUAAAUUUGGAAUGAUAUAGAGAGGGUCAUCAUGGUCCCUGAGAAAGGAUGAUAUGUAAUUGUGUAUCCAACCAUGGUUGA